GUCCACGCCGUAAACGAUGAGUGCUAAGUGUUGGAGGGUUUCCGCCCUUCAGUGCUGCAGCUAACGCAUUAAGCACUCCGCCUGGGGAGUACGGUCGCAAGACUGAAACUCAAAGGAAUUGACGGGGGGCCCGCACAAGCGGUGGAGCAUGUGGUUUAAUUCGAAGCAACGCGAAGAACCUUACCAGGUCUUGACAUCCUUUGACCACUCUAGAGAUAGAGUUUUCCCUUCGGGGACAAAGUGACAGGUGGUGCAUGGUUGUCGU
rnacentral:rRNA from 1 species